ACAUGCCUACAACAUAGUGUUAAUGCAUCAUAACCCAUUAGAAAUCCGCAGGUAAGCACGCUCAGUCUAGAGUAGUACUGGGAUGGGUGAUCAUCUGGGAAGUCCUAGUGUUUUACAUGCC
rnacentral:rRNA from 1 species